UGCCUGCAAUAUAAGUGGCUGUACUGAAUUGCUGCUUUAACUUAUUUGGAUUUUCAGUGACAGCCGGCAGUGCUUAAACAGCAGCAGGCGCCUUUGACAUGUCCUGAUGAAAUACGUGGCCAGACAUGGAUCAAUCCCACCCGGAAUUGGGUUUCACAUCCCGGAAGCAGAGAUGUACACAUGGGUCACUUUCAUCGACUCUCUGCGGCCAUGGCCAUAGGUAUCCAUCAUACAGACCAUUGACUGGUUGUGACCAUGAAGGUACAGAUUCAUCACGGAGAGAGGCUGCGGUGGACGAGGUCAGCGGAAAGCAGCGACUGCUUCUCGUCUGCAACCAUGUGGAAAUGGAGCCUUUUGAGAUAUUUUCAAAAUGAUGACGGCUGGGCUUGGCUGAGGAUUGAAGGAGAGAAGAUGAAGGGAAGGAUGAUGGAGAGCUGGAUGAGGGAGAGACGAGGAAAAGAAGAUGGUGAAGAUUGAUUUUCAUUGACUUGGUUCCAGCGCACUGACAACUGUGAGAUUCCAAUAACCAGCCUGAAACACGUGCAUACACACUGCAGAGAUAUGGUGAAUAGUUGGGAAAUAUUAGCAAAUGUUUUCAACUGCGAAGGAGUCUAAUAACACUUGAGAAUAGAAAAUAAAACCCAGACAGACACUUGAGACUAAUUAGAAAAAUAUUUAUUUCAUCCCCUAUUCUCAUUGUGUUAGCAUCACUAAGUGAACACUAACAUCCACUACACACACUCCAAAAAACCCUCCCAGUGUGUGUGUGUGUGUGUGUGUGUGUGUGUGUGUGUGUGUGUGUGUGUGUGUGUGUGUGUGUG